rnacentral:tRNA from 1 species
GCGCCUGUGGUGGAAUUGGCAGACACGCAAGAUUUAGGAUCUUGUACGUAAGUGUGCAGGUUCAAGUCCUGUCAGGCGCACCA